AACGCAUAUUGCGCUCGAGACUCCGGUCAAGAGCAUGUCUGGCUCAGCGUCGUUUCACCCACUCGCCACCUCUUCCCUCUUCUUCGGAAGGGCGGACCAGGAAGGCGGACCUGGCUUUCCCCGUGACUCUCGCGACGAACGGGGUCGGCUGAAGAACAGAGGCUUGAGCAUGGCGCCGCACUAUGGCAGCCGGCUUGGUAGGUGGCUCACGCUACAUGCCGCCGGAGGCCGCAGCGCCGUGUUGUGAGGCCCGCAGGAACCGAUCCUCUCCGGAGGUCGGACACUCAACCAUCGACCUGAGCUCAGGCAAGACUACCCGCUGAACUUAA
rnacentral:misc_RNA from 1 species